GUCCACGCCGUAAACGAUGUACACUGGACCGGUGCGAUUUUGACGUUGUAUCGGUCGUAGUAAAACGAUAAGUGUACCGCCUGGGGAGUACGGUCGCAAGGCUAAAACUCAAAUGAAUUGACGGGGGCUCACACAAGCGGUGGAGCAUGUUGCUUAAUUCGAGGCAACGCGAAGAACCUUACCUACCCUUGACAUGCCAGGAAUCCUGCAGAGAUGUGGGAGUGCUCGAAAGAGAACCUGGGCACAGGUGCUGCAUGGCCGUCGU
rnacentral:rRNA from 1 species